rnacentral:miRNA from 1 species
GGUGGGAGGAUUGCUUGAGCCUGGGAGAUGGAGGCUGCAGUGAACUGUGAUCUUGCCACUGCACUCCAGCCUGGGCAACAGAGUGAGACCCUGUCUC